AUCUAUCGUCAUCCAGAAUGCGAUUUCAUUGCCUCGUGUUCUGGCGUACCAUGAAUAUAAUGUGCAUGAUAAAUGGUGAAUCAUGCAAGGGUGAGUUUUUGUAAAGAAACGUUUUGUGUUUCAGUUUCUAUCCAGUAUGCAGUACACAAUACAUAAUACAUUGAAUAUUUAUCAGUAUUGGGAAUUUAACGCAAAUUUGUCAUGGAUUUGUUAUUACCAUAGAUGAUACGUUAAAGGAAUAAGAAUUGUAGAGGAAAAAUUAUUUACGACUGUAUUUAGAUAAUUGUUCCUGGAUGCUGGAUAUUGCAAAAUAAAGGAAUUUUAUAAAUUAAACAUUUUAAUUUGUUUUUGAUACAAUAGAUGGAUUCGUAUCUAAUUAAUAUACAAACUAGCUUGCAAAUUAUUCCAAUAAUCCAAUACACUAUUUCAUUUCAUUAAUAUAUUAUACAAUAUGUAAAAUUAAUUAAUUUAUCAUAAAUAUCAUCGAAUCUUGAUAUCUUCGCUCAAACGUGCAUCAAAAGAGAGACACGUAAUGGAAAAAGCACAAAUCUUUAAAACUGAUUGUCUAUUGGAAAAAAAAAAGAAAAAAAAAAAGAAAAAUGUGUUGCGAACAUUUUCAUCGGCGAAAUUAUUUGCAAAUUAUUGCCAUUACCCCGAAAAACAAAACAUUAAUGCGUUUCUGGAUGAAAAUACCCAUCCCCUGUGCAAAGGAGUUAAAAAUUCGAAUGCGCAUUAUCGAUGAACAAUCUAGCGAAUAAUUAAUUCCAUUCCCGCAUGGAAAUUCGAGCUGGCAAAAUGAUAAUUAAUCAAAACUGCUUGUUUAAUGCCGAAUAAACCGCCGUCGUUGUCAGCCUUUAAAUAAUGAACGAUUUGAAUAUCCCUUCGUGUUAUUAUGAAUGAUAAUUGACACAUCGUGCGAGAGAAAAGACGCUGUAUUAUCGAGAAAUCACCUGUGAUGCCAAUUCAGAAGUGAAGUGAAGUGAAGUGAAGUGAAGUGAAAUGAAAUAAAUUAAAAUAUAAGUAAUUAAGAAAUAAUUAAGAAAAUGUAUAUAUAAUGUAUAUUAGAAUGUAAGAAUAAGAAUAUGAAAUAAGAUUUUGUUAUUUUUAAUUGUAAUAGCACGAAUAUAUUUGAGAAUAAAACUUUGAAAAAUUAUUAAGAAUGAAAAUUACUCUAAUGUGUAUCUUUGAUUUUAUAGAAUUUUAUUCUUAAAUAUAUUUGUGUCUAAAUGCUAAUAAUUAUUAAAUGUAUUGUAAACUUUUCAAUUAAUAAGACAUUAUUUUAUUAUAAAAAUUUUAUAAGAAAAAUUUCAUCAUAUGUAUAUAUAUAUUUUAAAUUAUAAAAUAUAAUACAUAUGAACAUAAAAUUUUAUGAUAUAAAAUAUAUAUACAUAUGAAUGUUGAUUUUGUCUAGUAUAUUUAUGUAUAAGAUAUAUGUAAUAUAAGGUUAUGUAUAAAAUAUAAGAUAUAUUACUACAUGUACAAACACUUAUACAAUAAAGCUAUUUAUUUUUCUUUA